AGCGCAGCCACGCCCCUCCCACCCCACGUGGGCGGAGCUGGAACUCGCAGCCCCGUCACAGCGCGCCGGAGUCCGGGACGGGUCCGGAGUGGACCGGACCGGACCGCGAAUCAGCUCGGAUGCCUUUGGAUGCUUUUUACGUUUGAGGAGAGACCCGGAAGACCCGACUGAGGCAGCUUGUGGAGGGUGAGCAUGAUGGAGAUAGAGAACAGCUGCAAUCUGCAGAGGAAGAAACCACCACGGCUGAAACUGGACCUCCCCUCUCCACACUCGGCCAGACCUCCAUUCACAUCAAAUGAGCUCUCAACCAGACUACAGAAACAGGGAUCAUCCAUGCGAAGUGCCAGCAUCCCAGCAGAACACACACACCCCGGUCAUCAUGGUUACCCUGGUUACGACCCUGCCAAACUGCAGCGUCUGCCGUCAAUCACACGGACAAUCAAGAGGGAGAAGAGAGUUCGCUUUGAACGAGUCAACUCCGUUAUUGUUUUGGGCCAACAUGCUCCCCGCUACCUGACCCAGAGGCGCGAGUCCUUGUCCCAAAUCGUCCUCAGGUAAAAGACAAGUCCUGGGAAUGUACAUCUGUGUGUGUCUUAUGGACUGUCUUACGGAGAGUUUCCUCGAGUGUCAGUACUUGGAUGUGCGUUCAUACAAACCUGCAACUUCGUAUUAAGCAGAGAUCAACAAUUCUCAUUUAAUGGUCAGAUGUUGCACCUUCUGCUCAUGUCAUAUUAUCUUGGCUGGGUUGUACACUCUGCAUAGAUUUUAGGAUGGAAGCUAGGAGCUAGACAGCUAGAUUCUGCACUCGCCGGUGGACGUGUUCUGGGAGUUCUCCCCAUAUUUCAAAUUUCUCUGACAUUUCUGAAUCACGAAUAGCCUAGUGAGGAGGAAAAAGUAUUUCUUUUUUCAAAUAAAGUGAGACAAGCCCUCA
rnacentral:lncRNA from 1 species